rnacentral:lncRNA from 1 species
UAAAAGACGGUUUUGAAUGCCAAGAUGGGGAAUUUGCAUGUGAUCUUUUACAUGCAAAUUGACAUUUCUUUUUUUAAAGAGGAAAGUGAUUGGCUAGUUUUUGAGAAUUCCCUGAGUAUGGUUCACCAGAUUGACACUGAUAAUAGGCUUUUAUUUAAGUUCCAUUUUAAGACAUUCUUCUCUCCUAACUCCCUCUCUGCACUGAGUGGUUGCCUGGAAGUUGGAUGGUACAAUAUCUAAACUAAUGAGUAUGAAAAUAAUAAUGUGGGUGAUCGCUGGAUUAGA